rnacentral:rRNA from 14 species
GGUGAAAUGCAUAGAUAUCACAUAGAACACCGAUCGCGAAGGCAGGUGACCAACCAUGUACUGACGCUGAUGGACGAAAGCGUGGGUAGCGAACGGGAUUAGAUACCCCGGUAGUCCACGCCGUAAACGAUGGAUACUAGCUGUGGGGACUUCGGUCUCCGUGGCCAAGCGAAAGUGAUAAGUAUCCCACCUGGGGAGUACGUUCGCAAGAAUGAAACUCAAAGGAAUUGACGGGGGCCCGCACAAGCGGUGGAGCAUGUGGUUUAAUUCGAUGAUACGCGAGGAACCUUAC